rnacentral:rRNA from 1 species
UACGGGGGGGGCAAGCGUUGUUCGGAAUUACUGGGCGUAAAGGGCUCGUAGGUGGCCAACUAAGCCAGACGUGAAAUCCCUCGGCUUAACCGGGGAACUGCGUCUGAUACUGGAUGGCUUGAGUUUGGGAGAGGGACGCGGAAUUCCAGGUGUAGCGGUGAAAUGCGUAGAUAUCUGGAGGAACACCGGUGGCGAAGGCGGCAUCCUGGACCGAGAUUGACGCUGAGGCGCGAAAGCCAGGGGAGCAAACGGG